rnacentral:rRNA from 1 species
AUUGAACGCUGGCGGCAUGCCUUACACAUGCAAGUCGAACGGCAGCACGGGUGCUUGCACCUGGUGGCGAGUGGCGAACGGGUGAGUAAUACAUCGGAACAUGUCCUGUAGUGGGGGAUAGCCCGGCGAAAGCCGGAUUAAUACCGCAUACGAUCUACGGAUGAAAGCGGGGGACCUUCGGGCCUCGCGCUAUAGGGUUGGCCGAUAGCUGAUUAGCUAGUUGGUGGGGUAAAGGCCUACCAAGGCGACGAUCAGUAGCUGGUCUGAGAGGACGACCAGCCACACUGGGACUGAGACACGGCCCAGACUCCUACGGGAGGCAGCAGUGGGGAAUUUUGGACAACGGGCGAAAGCCUGAUCCAGCAAUGCCGCGUGUGUGAAGAAGGCCUUCGGGUUGUAAAGCACUUUUGUCCGGAAAGAAAUCCUUGGCUCUAAUACAGUCGGGGGAUGACGGUACCGGAAGAAUAAGCACCGGCUAACUACGUG